AUGGAUAAUCAGAACUUUCAUUUCUACUUGGAUUCAGCUCUGGAAGUGAAGGAGCUCGUCAGGGAUUUUUACUUGAGGCGUUAUUGUUCGUGCUUCAGACACCUUGAUAACUUGAGAGAAUGGCUGUUGGCUGACAUAUAUUUCUUCAAUCACUACGAGACAUUGUAUAAUAAAAUCAGAAACAGAGCACUUAUUGUCUACACCGAGCCCUUUGUGGCAGUUGGUUUGCAGAGAGUGGCUGUUGUUUUUGGUACAAACAUUGAAGCUAUUGAGAAGCAGCUCCUGGCUUUAAUAAACACAAACCAAAUUCAGGCCGAUGUUGACUCCAUCAAUAAAGUUGUACAUUUCCCAAGACAUGAAGGAAAUGGAAGUUUCCCACAGGGUUUGCAGAGUAGUGUGGCUGAAUUUGAUCAGGUACAUUCUGUUGUUAAACACAUACUUUAUUCGUAAUGGUACUUGUAUUAUAGUAUAUCAUAAACUAGAAACGCUAUAUGUUCUUU